UUUUAUCUAGGAGGUAUGUUUUUCAACCUGAUUUGAGUAUCUCUGUUUUGGUAGGGUGUUUUCAUAAAUCCAGCCUUCAUUGAGCCAUUUGGACUUACUUUAAUUGAGGUUAUUACUCUUGAGGAUGUAAUAAAGGGAAUUAAGAUCAUGAGGGAGACUUUGAUAUAUUUGUCACAUCUUGAUCACGAGGACACGGAAAAGCUGGUAUGGGUUUAUGGAAAAUAAAGUAGUAAAUGUAUUGAAAUAUUUUUCAUGUUUUCUAUUUGUACCAAAGUUAGUACAAGCUUGUGUUAGCUAUAGUUUUUAUUUAUAUUUAUGUCUAAUAAUAUUUCUGUUAUGAUGUGACCUAUUUUGAGUGGAAAUUUCUUUCAAGUCAUGUGGCUGCAGCUUGGGGGCUGCUGAUAGUGAAUAGUUUGAGGAAAAAUAUGAGUGGGGAAUUUCUUUUAUUGGCCAU